UUCAUUUGCCCCCAUUUCUUUUGGGGUUUUUACUGGUUUCCUCUUUUCUAAAUCUAAAUUCUAAGCUAAAAUAUCAGCUCUCUUCCUUCUUCACUUCAAAGCGGCUGGACUUAUUCACCCAAAAUUUGCCUGCUUCAUUGUCUCUUGCUCUGGCUAACAAAUUUUUGAGUUUUCAAGUCAAUUUUGUUCAAGUUUUGAUUGUUUUUUAAGCCCAAUUUGGUUAAUGGGUAUCCAUUAUUAUAUCGGAACAUUUUGAAGAGAUGAUUCUGGUUUCAAUCUGCAUUUGUAUUGCUAGAUUGUUUCAUAUGAGCAGUGGGAGAUUAAAGAUUGUGGUGCUUUCAAAAUGUCAGAAUUGGUGGACGAACAUGCCUAAGAUCCCUCAAGCAUCCUGCUCAAGUUGCUAAAUGAAAAAGCGUGGGAGGAUCUAACUUGUCAGUCCAUCAAUGGUCUAAUUUCCUUCGACUUCAACUCAUGCGAUGUGAAUAUGAAACGGUUUAAUCAUAUUCUGUAAUGAAAUUUUGAUCAUUAUAGCAAUGAUUUAUGUAUUAUGUUCAGUAUGUUGGUAAAUGCUCACCAGUUCUGUAUUGAUAUUAGAAAAUUAAUGAUUUUUUUUUUAAAAAUGUAUACUUUUGCCACGGUUUGAAUCGUGGCUAUCUUUUAUGUGAAUUGAACAUAUUAGCCACGGUUUCUCAUGUGGCUAAUUAAAAAUUUAAAAUUGAUUUA